rnacentral:rRNA from 1 species
AAAGCCUCUAGCUAGAAUAACGGUGCCCGUACCGCAAACCGACACAGGUAGUCAAGAUGAGAAUUCUAAGGUGAGCGAGCGAACUCUCGUUAAGGAACUCGGCAAAAUGACCCCGUAACUUCGGGAGAAGGGGUGCUCUUUGAGGUUCACGCUUCGAAGAGCCGCAGUGAAUAGGCCCAAGCGACUGUUUAUCAAAAACACAGGUCUCUGCUAAACCGUAAGGUGACGUAUAGGGGCUGACGCCUGCCCGGUGCUGGAAGGUUAAGAGGAGUGGUUAGCGCAAGCGAAGCUACGAAUCGAAGCCCCAGUAAACGGCGGCCGUAACUAUAACGGUCCUAAGGUAGCGAAAUUCCUUGUCGGGUAAGUUCCGACCCGCACGAAAGGCGUAACGAUUUGGGCACUGUCUCAACGAGAGACUCGGUGAAAUCAUAGUACCGGUGAAGAUGCCGGUUACCCGCGACAGGACGGAAAGACCCCGUGGAGCUUUACUGUAGCCUGAUAUUGAAAUUCGGUACAGUUUGUACAGGAUAGGUAGGAGCCUUAGAAGCGUGAGCGCUAGCUUACGUGGAGGCAUUGGUGGGAUACUACCCUAAUUGUAUUGGAUUUCUAACCCGCAGCACUUAUCGUGCUGGGAGACAGUGUCAGGCGGGCAGUUUGACUGGGGCGGUCGCCUCCUAAAGAGUAACGGAGGCGCUCAAAGGUUCCCUCAGAAUGGUUGGAAAUCAUUCAUAGAGUGUAAAGGCAUAAGGGAGCUUGACUGCGAGACCUACAAGUCGAGCAGGGUCGAAAGACGGACUUAGUGAUCCGGUGGUUCCGCAUGGAAGGGCCAUCGCUCAACGGAUAAAAGCUACCCCGGGGAUAACAGGCUUAUCUCCCCCAAGAGUUCACAUCGACGGGGAGGUUUGGCACCUCGAUGUCGGCUCAUCGCAUCCUGGGGCUGUAGUCGGUCCCAAGGGUUGGGCUGUUCGCCCAUUAAAGCGGUACGCGAGCUGGGUUCAGAACGUCGUGAGACAGUUCGGUCCCUAUCCGUCGUGGGCGUAGGAAAUUUGAGAGGAGCUGUCCUUAGUACGAGAGGACC